rnacentral:rRNA from 1 species
UACGGAGGGAGCUAGCGUUGUUCGGAAUUACUGGGCGUAAAGCGCGCGUAGGCGGCUUUGUAAGUUAGAGGUGAAAGCCCGGGGCUCAACCCCGGAAUUGCCUUUAAGACUGCAUCGCUUGAAUCCGGGAGAGGUGAGUGGAAUUCCGAGUGUAGAGGUGAAAUUCGUAGAUAUUCGGAAGAACACCAGUGGCGAAGGCGGCUCACUGGACCGAUUACUGACGCUGAGGCGCGAAAGCUAGGGGAGCAAACGGG